rnacentral:lncRNA from 10 species
UCAAGAGCUAGUACAUCAAAAUCAGUCCUUUUUCAGGGCGUGUUAAUUCAUCUGUAAAAUUUAAAUGGUUGGAAAAGAUAGGGGAUUUCAAACUAUGUUCUUCACAUCUGAAGUUCUGCAGAAAUAUGGAGUGUUCCACAUGGAAAUGUGCCCUUCACCACAGAGAUUCACACACAUUGUCCUGGGAUUCAGAUAAGCUAACAAAAUAGAGUGGAAGCUGGUUGAACUGUGGGCCUAUCAACUGCCUCACUUUACAAGUGCACAAAGAAGAGAUCAUGUGAACACACAGCAAGACGGUGGCCAUCUACAAGCCAAAAGAAGAAGCCUCAGAAUAAAAUCCACCUUGAACUUGGGCUUCUCAGCCUCCAGCACUGUG